AGGGGCGUCGGUUAACGGUAAACCACGGGACUCCAAAUCCCGGACUGGAGGUUCGACUCCUCCCGCCCCUGCCA
rnacentral:tRNA from 2 species